CAGUCCAAUGCUAGGCACCUAUCUCUGGAUGCUGUCUCCAUGGACGGUGUCUGUGUCCCAUUGCAUGUGCCCACAGCUUUCUUUUCAUGCAUCUCUAGUGUCCCUCUGCCCGCCUCACCGGGUACCUUGAAAGAUAGGAGGAAUGGGAACAGAAUUGUCUCUGCAGUGUCCACUCUUUUCCUUAGAAUCCUUGGGAGGAGAAAUGCCAGAAAACCCACCCAUCCUUUCCCUAUUCUCUCCCACACUACCUAAGAGCCCCUCCCUGGAACUUCCCUGGAACUUUCUCCAACUGCCUCCCCAACAGCCAACUGCUGCCCCCUCUCCUGUGCUCUAGGAACUCCCAACACCUCAGAUCCUCAAUACCAGCUCACCUUGACUGCCUUUAGGGUCCAAGCCUUGAGGAAUCCCGGAGGGAACUUUCUUCCCACCUUUUCCAGAAAUCUGCUCGACACUUCAUCUCACAGCCACCACCCAACGGUUCUCCCUCAGCUCUGGUAGGGGCCUUGAAGUUUUGUACCCUGAGUUGGGGAACAUCGGCUGCAUGUUCAUUCCCGACUGCAAUGACUACAGACAGAAGAUCACCCUCUGGAGCAAACCCAUAGUCAAGUUCUCUGGCGCCUUUGACUUUGAAAUACCCAAAGGAACGGCAUUUUCAGCCGGACUAACCACACCAAAUGGCGUUGAGCACCCCCAUCAGGCAGAGGACCACUCUGUGAGAUGGAGAACUUGGUCAUAUUUUCAAAUGCAAACAGAAGCAAGGCGUUAUUGAGGCUGCCAUGGGAGCGGAAGGAAAAGCUGUUAUACAUAAGAAUGCACCGCAUUUACAUUGUCACACUUCGCAACAAUUGAACUAUAUGCAACUGGUUUUUUUUUUUAAUAAUAAAAAACUGGUUUGCAUUUAAUUUGCUAGGUUCUCUUUCUUUCUUACUCCUGAAUUUUCAUGUGGCAUAGAAAUGUGAAAGGGGCAGGAGAUCAAGAUCCUUGAAGAUACCAGUAGUUGGGGGCUGGCAAGAGCCAUCUUUAGUGGGGAUGGGUCAGGGAUCCAUAGCUAGUUUAUAACUAUUUCCUUUUUUAACAGAUGCAGUUAGCCGAACUGUAAAACAUUCACCUUCCGAUUUAAUCACUCAUUCUUCCUGCUUGGAGACAGGUAUUAUAGUGCUAGAUAUUGCUUUUUGGGCUUUUGAAUGUCAAUGAUGAAUCCCCAUCUUCUAAUAAAAUACAUUUUCAUGGUAAUUGAAAUAAUAAUUUUUUUGCUUUGCCAUUUUCCCAGGUACUUAAAAAGAGGCUUUUGACUUCUUCCCCCUUUUCCUCUCCGGACCUGACUUAUUUAUUUUUUUAAUUGACAUUCCAUCCAUUCCUGAGCAGCACCAGACUUCUGCUAUUCAAGUUCUAGUGGCCCACACACUUAUUCCAAGUUCACAGCUAUGGGAUGGGAUCCAAACACACAGAACUAGCUAAGACACAGCAAGACCUAGAACUCUUUACUGUGUUUGGCUUUUCACCUCUGGAUGCUGAUAGAGCUAACUGUCUCUAGGGAUACAGAUGACAGGGGGUGCUGGCCAGAUAUCUGGGAAGGGAGAAGCCAGGGAAGGGGAGGAGGGCCCAGGGGCCCCAAAGCUCAGACACUAGGUGACCGCUAAAUCUCCUCUAACACCCUCAUAAUAAGGUCUGGAGCUACCCCUCCCUAGUCCACAUGCACCUCUCAAGCAUCCUCAGGAAUGAGCAUGAAUAUCAAUAUGUCAAGUACUGCAUUAAUAUCUCAAUUAUAAAAAUUGAGGAGGGGCCAUGUCGGCAAUGAUGGUUACCCCGAGUGUAAUAUAUUUAAUCUGCAGCUCUGUUAGCAGGGUUACUUUAAAUGGUAUCUUCGUGAACUUAACUUGAACUGAAAACUGUAAAGUUGUCUCCUAAGACAUCUUUUCCUCUUAUUCUUUCCUUUAUGGCUGACAACGAAGAGAAAGAAGAAAAAUAUAACUGAGACUAAGAUGGGUUUAAGAACAAUCAAGGUGCAACCUCUCUGGUGGCUGUACCAUCUUUGAAAGAGUCUCCUGGCCCUUUCUCUUUAUAUCGACCCAAGAAAGAAUGAUUUUGGCAAGAACUCGCUCCAUUUCAGCUGUCAUUUAACUUUGCCAGUAGGAUUUCUUCCCUUCAUAUAUCUAAUCUUCCCUAACCUAGGAAAAAGAACUUAAAAGUUCGGAAUCAGGAUUUGGAAAGUCUUAUCCAGGAAAUCAAAGUAGUUCCAGACUAACUGGUCAAGAAAGCACACACCUUCUUAAGGCAAUGCCUUAUUUUAGUAUAUGAGUGUUUUCUGUUGGUGAAACAAAAGGCUGAGGCUGAGUACUUCAUAUGGAAAAUAGGUUUAUGUAGCUCAUUGUUCUGGAAGUUCAAGGGCUCUGGCCUAGCUCCUGCUUGGUUCUGAUGAAGGCCUCAUGGCAGAUGCCUCACAGUGAACUCACAGGGCAAGACAGGAAGCCAGAGACUGAGGAUAGGCCAGUCUUCCGGUACUGGUGACAACCCACUCUAAGAGAGCAGUGUUAGUCUCCUCUGAGGGCACCAUCCCCAGUGACCUACCCACCUCCCACUGAGCCCUACCUCUUACAGGAAGCUCCCUCUGCCUCUCAUAUCACCACGCUGGGAACCAAGCUUCCAGCAUAGAAACCCUUUGGCACAAAUCACCUCCAAAUUAUGUGGAAAUAAUAAUUUUCUGCCAUUUCAUUUUUCCAAGUACUUUUGUCUCAUUCUCUUAUCCUAACAGAAGCUCAUACAUGGCCCUAGCAUGUUCCAGAAUUCAGGCCACAUCAUUCAGGGCUGUAAACGACGAAAAGAAAUCCUAUCUUGUGGCCUGAUACAUCCUUAGCACAACUGGGCAAGGUGGCCAGGGGCUGGAUUUCGGUCAUCGCUAUGCCUGAGAGCCUACUGGCCAUACAUGACAGCUGCUGAGCUUGAAAGAUCCGGGUUCCUGCCUUGAGCAAGAAGCUUGAUUUCAUGCAUAACAGAACCUGUAUCAUUGGGCUGAUUGAGAUAAUAUAUGCACAUUUCUUAGCACAGUUCCGGGGACUAAGUCUAUGGUGCCGGUUUAUCCCAGAGAGAACUUCUGUUGCCCUGUUAGCCUGAAUGAAGCUACAUUUACCACAACAAUGACGGGGGUGGCAGGAUGUGAUGUGAGCUGUCUCUAGGGAAGAGUUGCCAUGGAAGAGAAAAUCAGGAGCCAGUUUGACCUUGGCUUCUAGCAGAUGCCCAACUCCUGCUCCUGCU
rnacentral:lncRNA from 1 species